rnacentral:rRNA from 1 species
GGGUGAGUAACACGUAAUCAACCUGCCCUUCAGAGGGGGACAACAGUUGGAAACGACUGCUAAUACCGCAUACGAUCCAACCUCGGCAUCGAGGAUGGAUGAAAGGUGGCCUCUAUUUAUAAGCUAUCACUGAAGGAGGGGAUUGCGUCUGAUUAGCUAGUUGGAGGGGUAACGGCCCACCAAGGCAAUGAUCAGUAGCCGACCUGAGAGGGUGAUCGGCCACACUGGGACUGAGACACGGCCCAGACUCC